rnacentral:lncRNA from 12 species
GUGGGGGCGGCGGGGGGAGGGGGAGGGGGGGAAUAAGUAUUUAAAAAUCCCCUGAAGGAUUUCUUAUUCUGUUGCAAAUCAUAAUAGUCCUGACCUAUACACAGCACGUGUCCAUUUUGCAAAUUGGGGGGUGGGGGGGAGAAAUGCAAAGCAUAUAAACCCUGCCAGCGAGGAUGUGAUGCCCGCAUCAUCCCGUGUGCCACGGUCCCAUGAGCACGGUCUCCUGUGGACGGGCUCCUGUCGCUGGAGCCCCGCACCCAAGGACCUGAGCCUGCAGUAUUCAGGCCUCACAGGCGGGAAGGCAUAUGCUCAUUACAAAGCAUUUGUUGAGGAAGAGGACUAAAGCCGAAAAUAAUAAAAUCAUAAAUCACCCAGCACCUGGGCUCCGCUCUCCUGCCUGAGAUGUUCUCGCUCAACCAGGAUUCUGUGCCAACGUCGGCCGCACCCGGUGCUGGAUGGAGCAACGUUCCUGGAGCUUCCUGCAGGGCUUGGCUCAGCCCCAGGUCGGGGGUGACCCCCGGAAAAUCAGAAAGCCCGUGCAUCCUUUGCUCACUGGUCGGCUCUGGGCUGGUAACCUGAGGACUCGGCUGCUGCCACUUUUUUUUCAUCUUUUCCCUGGACUUACCCCUUCAGUCCCCAUCACUGAGUUGGGAAGCUUGAUGAGCAUUUUUAGAGACGGAGCAAAACCAUGCUGGAAUCUUCUGUUUCCCUUCUUGGUACCCUACGCCACUUUCAUGGCAAUGAGAAUCUGGAAGUCAUCCUACCAAAAAGGAGAGGGAGCUGAUGGGAUCAACAUUUUCUUUUGGGAUAUGACUUCUUGUGCCAAGGAUUAAAACAGCUGCAGCCAGGAGCGACCAGCAGGUAAAGGAUUAAUUGUGAGGUUCUUGCAGUUUUCCUGGCAACAAAAACACAGAUUGGAGCUAGGGUGACUGCAGUGAGGAACGAAGGCUGGGGGAUGGAGUGAGGAGAUGUUGCAAUAAUAAAAUUUGGGGUUGAUGAAUAUCCCGUAGGAAU